CCUACGGGUGGCUGCAGUGAGGAAUAUUGGUCAAUGGCCGGAAGGCUGAACCAGCCAUGCCGCGUGAAGGGCAGGGGCCUAGGGGCGUUAAACGUCUUUUGUGCGGGAGCAAGAAUGGGAACGUGGGGCCAGACGAGAGUACCGUACGAAUAAGCAUCGGAUAACUCCGUGCCAGCAGCCGCGGUAAUACGGGGGAUGCAAGCGUUAUCCGGAUUUCUUGGGGUUAAAGGGUGCGUAGGCUGUGAGGUAAGUCAGCGGGGAAAUGCCCCCGCUCACCUGGGUGAAGUGCCAUUGAUACUGCCUUGCUGGAUUGCGGAUGCCGUGGGCGGCAUGUGUGGUGUAGCGGU
rnacentral:rRNA from 1 species